CAAAUACUUAUUUUCCUCACUGUACAUAUCAGCAACAUCCCAAAUCCUAAUAAUCUGUUACACUGUGGCACAUUUCAUCCUCAUAGUGGCAAGAACUGAGAAUCUGAACAAUAAGCCAAAGCAAAAGAACACAUUUGCAUUUAUUUGUCUUGAAAGCUGUUAAAUAAAAUUAGUAUCACAAUGUUUCCAUCAACAGAGUUGCCCAACAGGUCCUUCACUUGAUGUGGAAGCUGGCUGUUUAUUUGAAUCAGCCAAGCAGUUCUUGGAAGAUGUUAACAUCUAGCAAAGUGUUCUUCCUCCACAGCCUCCAUCUCCAGGGAUAUUUCAGUGAUGUUCUACUUUGUUUCCAUCAGUCGGCCUUUAUUUGAUGCAGGUGGCUCUAACCUGACUGGACUUCACACCACGUCUUCCUGCCGCUCUGAGUCUUCUGUCUGUGCUGCAGUGACGGCCUUCAAGUCUGAGACCUUCUUACACACCAGACCAGAGUCUAACUGAUGGGAGAGACAAGAUUAGGCUCAAUAUAGACCUCUUUCAUGAAACCUGCAAAUAAUUAGAUUUGAUCAAUAUUUAUUUUAUUUAAAAGUAAAUAUACUUGCUGAAAUUACCAAAUAUAUUUCUGGUUUCUACUCAGCAAUUUUUGUGAGCAAUUUUGUAUUUGGUUUCGUGUUGACAGAAAAAAAAGGCAUCUACGUGUUCAGAAAAACAAUACACACCUUCAUUCUCUCAUUCGCUCACCUAGACCAAGACCUUAUGGUCUUUUCCUUUGUGAGACUGACACAGAGAGCUCUAAAGUAAGAAUAUUCCACCAACUGUGUAGUGAUAGAGUACAUGUUGGUUUCCACCGUAUCACCAGGAUUUUCUUUGCAGCAGUUAGGCUGGAAAGCCAAAUUGUUUUUUCAUGCACAUGUAACCCAUGUUAAUGUUACCUUAAAACCACUAAAAGGGAAAACAAAUAAAAAUGUGAUGUAAGCAAGCAAAUAAAAUUAGGCAUUAAAUCAGUAAUUUAAUGAGUGCAGAAGUAACAGCCAAUCAGAGUGACUCUAGCGCCGCUUGCUGGAGAGAGAGGAAAAACAGAGCGAGAGCAGUUGACCUUGAGAAGGAAACAACAGAGAAGUCUGAAACCGACCGAGAUGAAAGAGUAAAAAACAAGUUUUGAAGACUGUAAAACCUCAUUUCUUUUCCAUUUUUGGAGGAUUUUGUGUUGCUUUUAGUCCACAUUGAUGGAUUCUGUUUUUGGAUUUGCUGAGUGAAAACUACUAUUUACAACAUGCCAGGUUUUUUUGUUGUGAGGAGCUGCUUGGUGUUUAUGCACGUGAAGCCGGGAAAGAAGAUGGCGAACCACCCAUAGAAUAAACUGCGUCGGAUACGGGUCUGUUCCACAAGACCAACCUAUACUCGCGGGAUAAGGACACUGAUUCGUUCACCUGAAUCGUGGUUCAUUUGGUUCAGUGCUGGAGCUCAGAGUUUUCUUCUCCCUGGAUGGAGU